AUUGAACGCUGGCGGCAGGCCUAACACAUGCAAGUCGAACGGUAACAGGAAGCAGCUUGCUGCUUUGCUGACGAGCGGCGGACGGGUGAGUAAUGUCAGGGAAACUGCAUGAUGGAGAGGGCUAACUACUGGAAACGGGAGCUAACACCGCAUAACGUCGCAAGACCAAAGGGGGGGACCUUCUGGGCCCCUGCUCUCGGAUGGGCCAAGAUGGGAUUAGCUAGUAGGUGGGGUAACGGCUCACCUAGGCGACGAUCCCUAGCUGGUCUGAGAGGAUGACCAGCCACACUGGAACUGAGACACGGUCCAGACUCCUACGGGAGGCAGCAGUGGGGAAUAUUGCACAAUGGGCGCAAGCCUGAUGCAGCCAUGCCGCGUGUAUGAAGAAGGCCUUCGGGUUGUAAAGUACUUUCAGCGGGGAGGAAGGUGUUGAGGUUAAUAACCUCAGCAAUUGACGUUACCCGCAGAAGAAGCACCGGCUAACUCCGUGCCAGCCGCCGCGGUAA
rnacentral:rRNA from 1 species